AACGUAGGAGACGAACGUUAUCCGGAGUUACUGGGCGUAAAGGGCGUGUAGGCGGUUCUCCAAGUCCGUUGUGAAAGCCCCGGGCUCAACCUGGGAAUGGCAGUGGAAACUAGGGGACUGGAAUCUGGCAGAGGGGGUGGAAUGCCGCGUGUAGCAGUGAAAUGCGUAGAGAUGCGGCGGAACACCGAUGGCGAAGGCAGCCCCUGGCUGAGAUUGACGCUCAGGCACGAAAGCGUGGGGAGCAAACAGG
rnacentral:rRNA from 1 species